GGGUAGGUACUCAAGUGGUCAACGAGGACUCUCUGUAAAAGAGUUGGCGUUCGCCUUCGGGGGUUCGAAUCCCUCCCUACCCA
rnacentral:tRNA from 1 species